rnacentral:pre_miRNA from 1 species
UCUUAUGGAUAAGCAAACAAAGUAGUUUCUUGAGAUGGAACCUAACCCUGAUGAAGAUGUUGUGAA